rnacentral:rRNA from 1 species
CCUACGGGUGGCAGCAGUGGGGAAUAUUGGACAAUGGGCGAAAGCCUGAUCCUGCCAUGCCGCGUGUGUGAAGAAGGCCUUCGGGUUGAAAAGCACUUUCAGUGGGGAAGAAAGCCUUGGGGCUAAUACCCUCGAGGAAGGACAUCACCCACAGAAGAAGCACCGGCUAACUCCGUGCCAGCAGCCGCGGUAAUACGGAGGGUGCGAGCGUUAAUCGGAAUUACUGGGCGUAAAGCGCGCGUAGGCGGUCUGAUAAGCCGGUUGUGAAAGCCCCGGGCUCAACCUGGGAACGGCAUCCGGAACUGUCAGGCUAGAGUGCAGGAGAGGAAGGUAGAAUUCCCGGUGUAGCGGUGAAAUGCGUAGAGAUCGGGAGGAAUACCAGUGGCGAAGGCGGCCUUCUGGACUGACACUGACGCUGAGGUGCGAAAGCGUGGGUAGCAAACAGGAUUAGAUACCCCAGUAUC